rnacentral:rRNA from 1 species
UACGUAGGGGGCUAGCGUUGUCCGGAAUCAUUGGGCGUAAAGCGCGUGUAGGCGGCCCGGUAAGUCCGCUGUGAAAGUCGGGGGCUCAACCCUCGGAUGCCGGUGGAUACUGUCGGGCUAGAGUGCGGAAGAGGCGAGUGGAAUUCCUGGUGUAGCGGUGAAAUGCGCAGAUAUCAGGAGGAACACCAAUUGCGAAGGCAGCUCGCUGGGACGUAACUGACGCUGGAGACGCGAAAGCGUGGGGAGCAAACAGG